rnacentral:rRNA from 1 species
UACGGGGGGAGCAAGCGUUGUUCGGAUUUACUGGGCGUAAAGGGCGCGUAGGCGGCGCGGUAAGUCACUUGUGAAAUCUCUGAGCUUAACUCAGAACGGCCAAGUGAUACUGCAGUGCUAGAGUGCGGAAGGGGCAAUCGGAAUUCUUGGUGUAGCGGUGAAAUGCGCAGAUAUCGGGAGGAACACCCAUAGCGAAGGCAGCACUCUGGGCCGGUACUGACGCUGAGGAGCGAAAGCGUGGGGAGCAAACAGG